UACAGAGGGGGCAAGCGUUGUUCGGAAUUACUGGGCGUAAAGGGCGCGUAGGCGGCCUUCUAAGUCGAACGUGAAAUCCCCGGGCUCAACCCGGGAACUGCGUCCGAGACUGAAAGGCUUGAAUCCGGGAGAGGGAUGUGGAAUUCCAGGUGUAGCGGUGAAAUGCGUAGAUAUCUGGAGGAACAGCGGUGGCGAAGGCGGCAUCCUGGACCGGUAUUGACGCUGAGGCGCGAAAGCCAGGGGAGCAAACGGG
rnacentral:rRNA from 1 species